CGCUGCCUUUUAUUUCCACGUCACGUGAUUUCCGGUCUCUCUCUCCGCGACAGAAACAUGACUCGGCAACGAAACUUCUGGCUCAAGCGUUUGAGAUGCAGAGUCUCCUGCAAAAAACAAGCGGCAGACCUGGGAUGAGACGGCAUACCCUGCAUUUAGAUGAAAGCCAAUAAGGGGGAGCAGUGAGCAGCAGCGGUGUGGCCGUGCCCGGAAAUCAUUCUUGAUGAUUUAACCCCCAAUUCCAAUCCUUGAUGCUGAGUGCUAAGCGGUGAGGAUGGCUUUGGAGUCUAUGGUGAAUCUCUUAUUGUCAUCCCCCAGUGGUAAUUGAUGCACAUGCAAGCGGACGAUGCACACGAAGCAGUGGAUACCACACAUCUGGACGUUCAGUUUCAUGUGGAGACUGGUGCCUUCCUGUGGAUGUGACUGAAACUCUAAAAGUAACGUGACUGCAAUGGAUUUUAAAUUGAAUAAAAGAACCUACAUAAUCA